GCCCUGGUGACACAGUUGUUAUGUGUUUGGCUGCUAACCAAAAGGUCGGCAGUUCGAACCCCUCGGCA
rnacentral:tRNA from 1 species